rnacentral:rRNA from 1 species
UGCCAGCCGCCGCGGUAAUACGAAGGGUGCUAGCGUUGUUCGGAGUUACUGGGCGUAAAGAGCAUGUAGGCGGAUGAAUUAGUCAGAGGUGAAAGCCCCGAGCUCAACUUGGGAACUGCCUUUGAUACUGUUUAUCUAGAGUCCGAGAGAGGUUAGUGGAAUUCCCAGUGUAGAGGUGAAAUUCGUAGAUAUUGGGAAGAACACCAGUGGCGAAGGCGGCUAACUGGACCGGUACUGACGCUGAGGUACGAAAGCGUGGGGAGCGAACAGGAUUAGAUA